AUGUACAUUCCUACAACGUUAAUGCAUCAGACCCCAUUAGAAAUCUGCAGUUUAGUGCGCUUGGGCUAGAGUAGUACUUGGAUGGGUGACCUCCCGGGAAGUCUUAGUGUUUUACAUG
rfam:Picea glauca, whole genome shotgun sequence.